rnacentral:rRNA from 1 species
UACCAGCACCCCGAGUGGUCGGGGCGUUUAUUGGGCCUAAAGCAUCCGUAGCCGGUUCUACAAGUCUUCCGUUAAAUCCACCUGCUCAACAGAUGGGCUGCGGAAGAUACUAUGGAGCUAGGAGGCGGGAGAGGCAAGCGGUACUCGAUGGGUAGGGGUAAAAUCCGUUGAUCCAAUGAAGACCACCAGUGGCGAAGGCGGCUUGCCAGAACGCGCUCGACGGUGAGGGAUGAAAGCUGGGGGAGCAAACCGG